CAGGCCUCACCUGAGGAUGCUGUCCAGGCAGUUGAUCUGUUGGUAGGAACAGCCGGGGGCUUCUUUCCUCUCUGGCUCCUCAGGGGCUAAUGCUAGUGGGGCUUGGUCAGAAGCAGGGGCCACCUCCAGUUCAGGGUUUGGGGACUGGCAGGGGACGACUUUGGCCUUGAAGGUCCCUGUAGCUGGGACAAGGAAAAGAAAAGGUAAAUGGGUUAGGAGUGAGGGUAAGGGGACCUCAGGCCUUCCUCCUCAUCCCAGCUCACCAAGGAUGCGGGGCCGAGGUGGAGGCUUGGCCCGGGACUCAAUGAAGAGUUGCUGUCCCUGAUGUUUGACCAGAUGCACGUCCUUACAGAUCUGCUGGAAAGUCACCUGUGGGAGAGCAGAGCACUGGGUAGCACUGGGGUGGCCAGUGCCAGGGCCCAAGUGUCAGAAGGUCUGGGGCCUAGGCAGGGUAGCAUGAGGGACUGGCAGAUUCCCAACAGAGAAUGGGAAAGGAGACAGAGGAGGUUACUCACUGGAGCAGGAGGCCCAGGCCCCUCGGCAUCGCCCCCAUUGCUAUCACUGGAGGAGCCAGGGCUAUGGAGAGGACCGGGCGACAUCAGAGGGCCGACUCCACAGAGCCCCGUGGGGCUGGAGCUGUGCACAGGCUGCAGCAGGGAGAAGAACGGGUCGGUCAGAGGUCUACAUCCUGCUUCCCGACCACUUCGUCCCUGACCUUCCUCAACUCUCACCUGCAACAGCAGUCGAUGGAUCUGCUCUGAGAGCUCCUGUAUGUCAGCGUCCAGGGACAGAGCCGGGCUGGGGGCUGGGGGAGUGAAGACGUCCUCAUUCAGGGGUGCCCUGCAGGAUGACGGUAAGGGUGACUACAGUCCCUUCCCUAACCCUAUCAUACUGCCCCAUCCGCAAUGCCAGCUCAGAGACAGGGCACACUUACGUGCGGACUUUAUGGCGGCCCAACACAAAAGCCACCUUGCGACUCCAGGGGUGUACAAAGCCGGCCCAGCUGGUGUCCAUGGUGACAUACUCCCCAUUCCGAGCACAGAAGCGAAUAGGAGAGUGGUCAAAGGGCUGGCCUGCCAGCUGCAGAACUGUGGGAGCAGAAGAAAAAGGUGUUAGUGGGUGUGAGAACUGAAUAACGUGGGGAGAGACACAGAGAUAUCCAAGAGACCAAGGCAUUGAGAGUCACCACCACAAAGGCAGCCAAGAAACCCUGGGGACAAGCAAGGAGGGCAAGAUGCGAACUCACUCUUCUUGUGAAUGGCCAGCAUGAGAGGCCGGUCCUCAGGAUGCAGAAAGAGGAGCACUGGAGCCCCCAGGAGAUCCUGGGGCAGGUAGCCCAGCAGGGGCGCGGCUCUGCAAUGACAAGAGGGCAUCAGAUCACGGCUUGGCCCUGGUUACCCACCUUCCUCCCAGUCUUUACCUUACCUUUCAUCUACAUCCUGGAAGAGGCAGCUGGGUGUGUGCCGUGUGGUGAAGAUCCUCUUGUCAGGAGGGAUCCGGGGAGCUGCAGCAUAAAACAUGAAGGUUUCAUCCACAAUGGUCUAGCUCCUCAGCCCUCCUCUCUGCCUAGGGUCUGGCUGCCCGGCAUGCCUCCUCUCGGCUCAGACCUGGCUUUAUGGCCCAUGGAGAGUGAGUCAUCUGGUGACUCAUACCAGAGAUGACACUGAGAAUCACUGACAUAUUCUCUUUCUCCUGUCACACCUCAGAGAUCUGUCUCAUCCUACUCUACCUCCAAGCAGGGCCUUAUAAAGACCCCUCUUAAAAUAUGUCCUAAAUCCUAAGGACCCAGCCCAUGCCUCCCAGACUCUCAUCUUGAACUUCACCCCAUCCUAGAGGGAAAAGCUUCCAUCAUCCCCCAGGCCAGGGCCCUAGCCUAUCCACCUUCAUAACCAGAGUGGAUGCGCUCUGCAAUGAGUAGGCAGCAUGGCUGUGCAGGGGCCCCAUCUGAGACCCGAAUCUUGGUCACAUAUGGGGUCAGGCGGAAUGGCUGGUACCGAGGCCCUGGAUCCCGGUCAGGACCUCCUCUGGCAAGGGAAAAAUGAACAUUAGAGGUUUCCAGUGGAAAGCUGCCCACCCCCUUGUCAAAGUCACAGCCCAUAUAACAGAGGCAGCAGGGGUGAGGAGGGGAGAAAGGCCUGCUCCUACUCCCACUCCCUACCUGAUUCGGCAGAAGACGGACUUUUCCUGGGCGAAGUCCUUGAGGCCUGAACCUAGACCAGAUGAGAAGACAGUCAGCACAGCACCGUCCCUUCCCGGCCUGAGAAGAACCCAGGAAAUGAAAGCUUGGGUCCAGGCUGCCCUCUGCAUAGCAUAAGGGCACUUUACCUGCAGAGGUCCCAGUGCCCCAGGUGGGCAGUCGAGAUGGUGUAGUGGAGCCAUAGAAGACACCCACAUCCUGGGGAGCUAGCAGCUCUGAGAAGCGGGCACCCCGAAACACAUCCCGCUUGCAACGCAGCAGGACGCCUGCCUGCUCCGAAAUAUAGACAAUCCGGCCUGUCAGGAAGGACACAGCCACGGAGAAGGUAUCCUAGGAUGGGACCAAGGUCAAGAGAAGAUUUAGGAGCUGCAGGAAUGGGGGUGAGGGUGUGUUAGGACGGAGGACCCACGCUGCAGCUGACCUGGUUCCUCAGAGUGUAUUCGGAUGUGAUAUGCUCCAGUUCCUCCAGGGUGUAAGUAGACAUGUCCAUGGCACAAGGCUCACCCUCCUCCAGACUCCACUGCUGAUAAUACUCCUGGUUAGCUGUAGGACAAGGGUAUUCAAGCCAUAUUCAGUAAGGAGACUGGUACCUACAACAGUCCAUGGCCUGGCCACACCCUGCCGGGAAGCACCACUCACCCUGCACCUGCUUGACACAGGCCAAGGCAUACUGCAGUGUGGCCAGGGUUCCAGAGCGGCCCUUGCCCCGACGCUCUGGUGGCAGUCGAAGUUUGAGCUCCCGCAGGGCAGUCAUGAGUUCUUUCUGGGUCCUGGCUCGAGCUGACUGUUCACUGCUACAAGGCCCACAAGGAAUGAAGGGGUGAAGACAUUAGCCCCAGAGUCUAGCCCCAGGCCCCAGGCAUCGGGUCCCACGGCCCUCAGGCCACACACCUGCAGCCACUGGUGGAUGGGUUGUCCUGCUCUGAGCUUGCACUCAGGAGGCUAUAGGCAAUGGAACUGCUCGGUGGGGAUGGGCUCUGAGAGUUUGUACUAGAAAAGAAGCAAAGAGCCCAAGGUGAGGGUCAUGUGAUCAACAGCGCCAUGGCAUCCCCUAGCUCUCCAGACCUCUGCUCCAGACUCUGCAGUAUGUGCACACACACACACACACACACCUCUUGCUGCUCUCGGUGGUCUCCAGCAGGGCUGAGUCCUUGCCAUUGCCAGAAGAGGAGCUGUGGGAACUCCGCUGAGAUGCACCCCUGGACUCGUGGCCAUUGGAUUCAUUGCCACUGGAACCGUUGCUGUUGGCGUCCGUAUCAUCAGCCAGGCUGCGGCCUGGACGAGGCCGGUGCUGUGGGGCCCCAGGGGAUGGGACUCCUCCAGGACAAAAAGGUUCUCCGGGCCUGGGGUCUCCUCCCCCAUCAGCCCCUUCUAGGGGGCCGCUCAUGUCUGGGCCAUGCAGUGGAGAACAGAACAGAGAAGGUGACGAGGCCACCACGGGUGCACGACGGGGCUUCUGAGGCCUGGAUAAGGGAGGUAGCCCUGUCCCUGAGGGCUGACUAAUUUAAUCACAGCACCUAGAAAAAGAAACCAAGAAGGAAGGUUUAGCAAAGCUCAGCCGUUAACCCCACAGCAUCUACUGGCCACAUUCAGUCCUUCCUCUGCCAGUCCCUCGCUGAUGGGAUUCAGGCCUGGGGCUUGCAAUAGAAAACUAAGUUGUUUCCGUUCCCCCUAAGGAUACCACAGGUAGGAAGGCAGCUCUCUUGGGCCUUCUCUUACGCCCCCUGCCAGAGUGGAGUGGGCACAGCCUGAACAAUUAACUAGAACUAUGGCUGUGGGACAAAGCUUGCAGGUUUUCUAUCCCCAAAUUCUCAUCAGGUCCCGACUUGGUCUGGGACUCUGAGGCCUCUCGGAGCAGGGGGUGAGCAGAUCGCCUCCUAUAUUUAGGCUUCCGGGCUAAUUUUAUCCGGGGGCGGUGCCACCCCCGCUGCACAUGCGCGUCGAUGUGCCUGGCCCCACCACGCGCUUCCGCCACAGCUACGGUCGCCAGGGAAACCGACGUCAGCCGCUGAGCUCAGCGGUUGCUGGAGGGACCACAGGAGGGCAGGAACGACCCCUCCCCCAACCCCUAUUGCUGUGUAAGUGGAAAACGGACACACUCCCACACUGGCCAAACCACCCCUAUACUGGCCAGCAAGGCCCGGGGAUCACCCAUCUUAACAAAUUCCCAGGGCCCAGGGGGCCAUGUGAAGAGAUGAACUACAGGGACUCCAGAAACAGGUCCUAGCCUCCCCAGGGAGAAAUACACGGCCUCUGCUCUCUGUGGAAACGCCCCCAUCCUAGUUCUUGAUCCAUCCUUCUGAUCAAGACACUGCUUUUCUUUCUCGGACCCCUGCCCGCUCCCAAACACCAGGACUGCGAUUACCACUUGCUAUAGAGAAGGACCCAGGCAUCUUUCCCAGUCCCCUACUUUCCUAGUUAACCCUACCACAGCAUCAAUGCCUCAGGUCGGGGACACACAACAACCAACAUACAGUUCUUCCUCUACUCCUUGUCUAACCACACCCCCAUCCCAAGUAUUUUCCGAGCACCGGAGAAAAGGGAAGGCUGCGGCCAACAGCAGGAACUAGCGCUGGAACAGGAUGUUCCAGCACGAAGCGGCUGACAUCACGACCGGCAUGGGGCCAGGAAUUGGAGGGAGGAAGGCAGAGACUGCAAAACCCUGGAGGGGUCUUUGUGCCAGGGUAAACCCGAGGACCCCCGAGUGACAAGAAAGGGGUAGAGGCCAUGUUCGCUAAAGGUCUGCUGUUGGGCUUAGGAUGGCUGCGCCGGAGAAGCAGGGCAGGAGGUAAGGACCUGACACACAGCCGACUGACGGUAAAACGUGAUGACUUUGUGUCUAUCAAGGAUAGACCCCUUUCUCCCUCCACAGCUCUCGAGGAUUUAGGUGUGAUUCCUCUGACCCAAAGAGCCAUUGCUCGCCCACCUCCGUAUCUGCCAUUUACACAGACAAAGGGUUUCAGCACUCCAACAGCCCCCACCUGAUCCCAAGGCCCAGGUUGUCAGGUCUCACCGUCCCCACAGUAACCAGGCUCUGCUGCCGUCAAUGGAGAAGAGGGGGCGGGAGACAGUGGUGACGUCAAAGCGGAGGAAGGAGGCGGGGCGAGGCAGCUGGGGAAUGUGGGGCAGGGAGGCUGGAGAGGCAGCGGUUUGGGAGGCAGCCAGCCCCAGAGGGCGGCGGCCAGCGCACUAGGGAACAUCGUGUUCUCUUGGCUGGUGGCCCAGGACAUGCACUCAGACUUGGCGCCUCCCCCAACCCACCGACAGCCGUCCUGUACAAAAGCCAAGGAUUCCUGGAGAGACGGUUCAACUGCCCUGGAGAGGCAAGGAUCCCCAUCGUCCAGCAAGUGCUACACACACUGGCGGGAACUAGCCACAUACUCUGAAUACAGCGGGCAACCGGAAGCACCGCCUCUUCCCUCUACGGCUACGUCUCAGUGAUGCUCCUGAAGUGUAUACAUGGUGACAGGGUUUGCGUACAGUGCUUGGAGAGUUCAAGAGAGGGGCUAAAGUGGCAAUCACACUGUUGUGAGUGCAAGGGCAGUAUGCCAUCGACAGCCAGCUUUAUGCCAGUGGGCUUUGUCUCAUCAAGCUGAUCCUUUCAGUCAUU